rnacentral:lncRNA from 1 species
GAAAAAAAGGCGAAGAUUGGGAAAAGAUGUUACCCCAGGACCCAUCUGCCUCACAAAAUCAAUCAAUCAGAAUCCUAGAUCUGUUCAGAUAUUGGAUAACCUGGUGCCUCGUUAAGGGUCCAGCCCCAGCCCCAAGAGACUCAAGUUCUGGGUGACCCGCUUACCCAAAAUGCUUCCCAGAAGCAGAGUCUGCUGGUGACCCACUCCACUUGGCAUGGAUCAAAUGGCAACCAUUCUGCAGAAAGGGCCGACUGAGACAAGAACAUGAAGACCAGAGUCUACACACCCAGAUUACAAAGAGACAAUGUUGGAAAGAGAGAGUUUAAAAGACAGUCCUGUACCCAAAAGGUCCUAUAUCCCUUUCACAAGAUUUAGUCCAGCUCGUUAUGGAAGCAACCUCCAGCAGCUAAUUGGUAUUGCAGUGCUUCUGAGCUGUGACCUAAAAAAAGGGGGAGAUGUGAAAGCCAAAUAAAGUGACAUAAAGAAAUUCC